AAGGUGCCGUUUUAACUCUGUGCCCCCCCCCACCCCAACUGGCUCUGGUUUGCCCACUGACAGCAGAAGCUGGUGAGCUGACACAUCUACUGGGAACGGACCAGCUUCAGGCUGUGGUGCCAAUCCUCCAGACAGACGAGCAAGAGUUGUCUGUGCGAGCAAGCAAGAGAGCCGACACAGGAGGAUAAAAGCUGAUCUCUCUCUUAAUGGUCAGCAGGAGUCCCAGGAGAGCUCUGAGUCCAGGAUGAAAGAUGAGCUCAGAGUCGCAGGUAAAUGAGUCGUGAUCUCGCGGAGGGAACUACAGACGAUCCUAUUGGUUGUUGGAAGGGGCCUGUAACAGAGGUGUAACUGGCAAACCAUGCAACGCAAUCACCUACAUACAGAUGUGUGUGUGCUCGUACACGCAGGAGAGCUGCGCGUCGCCCAACCUCAGGGAUUUAUGUCCGGAGAACGGAGAGUUUUGAAUGCACGCCUCCUGCACCUCCUGGUUCUGAUUAUUCAGCACACAUCACUCUGACACACACACACACACACACACACACACACACACACACACACACAUACACAUACACAUACACAUACACACACACACACACACACACACACACACAGAGUUUAAAAGUAGUAUAAAGUAUAAAUAAUCACAGAACUGUAGUCAGGUGAUGGUAGUAAUCCUGAAGUUCUAGUGACCUCACCAUUGACCUGUGAAGCUGUCGGCACAACUCAGCAUCCUCAAACCUGGAUCCCUUUAAGGGGAGCCAUGGCGAUUAGAUGGGGAGGAAAGUGACUAACAAACUGCAUCUUUAUUAGGUGGAUAAUAUAAGUGGGAAACAGCAGUUUGGGUGACUAACUCAUUUUAAUUUCACGAUGUCCUGAAGGCGCACGGGCAAAGACCGGAUUAAAGCGUUUUGUAGUAUUUCUGUAACUAGUUGUAUUCUGUCUUUGGUUACCACUUUAAUAAACGUUAACAUUACUUAUCGUGGUAAAACACGCUGUUAAAAACAAACCAAUUUGCUUUGAAACACAGUAUCUGUCGUGGUUUCCUGGAAUUAUAAUCAGGCACAGUACAAAUACACCAAAUGUACGCUAUUGAAACACAGCACAUGAGUAAAAGUACUCUUCUGCGGACCCCCCGCUGUGAUCCCCGCGGCAACGCCGAGAAAAGAGAAUAAGGAAGAGAGGGAAGCAUUGAAGUGUUCCUGGGAGGAUACUCCACCCUGGGCGGGGAGACGGAGCCACCAGGGCGGAGAGGCUAACGGGUACAGGCUCAUGAAUUACGGAGGAUGCUCCUCGCUUUGUGCACUUCAAAGACAACGGCAAGCUAAGGAGAAGCGAAAAAGGAAGUUUGGAACCAUCCUGGGGCGUCAUGGCGACCGGUGGGUCGGACCGGGCCGGCCGGUCGCCCGGCUCAGGACCUCACAAACACUAAGUUUAAGGGAGGCACAAACACUUCGUUUGAGGGAAGCACAAACACUAAUUUUAAGGGCGUCACAAACACCCAGUUUAAGGAAACUCCCAUUUUAAGAGCUUCAAACAUCCCAUUUAAGGGCAUCACAAAUACCCAGUUUAAGGGUACUGGUUUUUAUUCAACCUUACUUGUUGACAGUUCUCCUUCGUCUUUUGAGCAGAAUAUCAGCGACUCCAGAUGAAGAGGGCGUGUCUGGAUUUAGAGGAUGUUCUGACAGGCGCACCAGAAGAGCCGCUAGUUUGUUGCUCUCUAGAAAGGGGGGAGUGAUGACGUGUCAGAUCGAUGACGCGUCAGAGGCGCUCAGUGCCAAACGCGCGAGGUACAGAUCUGCGACCAGACCGUAGAAUAGAUCCGCUUUCAGUGACGUCUCCGCCACAGCACGGAGGGACGAACGCGCGGGGAGAACGAGACAUGAUGUGAAAAAUAAGCCGACAUAAUGUGAGUGAAAGGGCAGGACGCGGCCUGGUUAAACCCCGUCAGAUGUGCGCGAUGCGGUGUUAGCUCAGCGGUCCCGUGGAGGUGGUGACCCAGAACCGCCAUAUGCUCCGAUGGCACGACCUACCUAGGGCGUUGGGCCCCCGCCAGCCGCACGGCUU